rnacentral:rRNA from 1 species
UACGUAGGAGGCGAGCGUUGUCCGGAAUUACUGGGCGUAAAGCGCGUGUAGGCGGUCGGACACGUCGAGGAUGAAAGCCCUCUGCUCAACGGGGGGAGUGUUCACGAAACGGCCCGACUCACUGGAGUCUGGUAGAGGGUGGUGGAAUUCCCGGUGUAGCAGUGAAAUGCGUAGAGAUCGGGAGGAACAUCUGUGGCGAAGGCGGCCACCUGGACCAACACUGACACUGAGGCACGAAAGCGUGGGGAGCAAACAGG